rnacentral:rRNA from 1 species
GCAAGUCGAGGGGCAGCAUUGCCUUCGGGUAGAUGGCGACCGGCGCACGGGUGCGUAACGCGUAUACAAUCUACCUUGUACUGAGGGAUAGCCCGAAGAAAUUUGGAUUAAGACCUCAUGGUACCGGGACACCGCAUGGUGAUCCGGUUAAAGGUUACGGUACGAGAUGAGUAUGCGUCCCAUUAGCUGGUAGGUGAGGUAACGGCUCACCUAGGCUACGAUGGGUAGGGGUCCUGAGAGGGAGAUC